UAGAGAUGGAGUGUCACUGUGUUUCCCAAGCUGGUCUUGCACUCCUGGGCUUAAGUGUUACCCCAGUCCCAGCCUGCUAACAUGCUGGGAUUGAAGGCGUGAGUCACUGCUCCUGGUCAGCCUUGUCAUUUUUUUAAUGAUAUCUUUCAAAAAUAGAUGUAUUUUUAACUUUUACGACAUUCAAUUUGAUAUUUUGUAUUUUAUGGUUUGUGCUUUUUGAUGUCCUAAGAAAUUUUGCCUACCCUAAGGUCACAAAAAUGUGCUGUUAAGAUUUUCUUUUAGAAGUUUUAUAGUUUGUUUUUUAUCUUUAGAUCUAUGAUCUAUUUUGAGAUUUUAUGUAUGGUAUGAGAUAAGAGUAAAGGUUCACUUUUUUCCCAUACAUAUAUUCAAUUAUUCUAGCACCAUUAGAAAAACUUCCCUUACUCUGUGGAAUUACCUUUGCUUUUUCAUUAAGAAAUAAUUGGUCACAUAUGUUUGGCUCCAUUUCUGGACUCUGUUUCAUUGAUUUGUAUGUCUAUCUUUAUGUUAAUACCACUUUGUCUUAAUAACUAUAGAAUUAUAAUAAAUCUUGAAAUCAGACAGGGCAAGUAUCCCACAUUUGUUGUUUAUAAAAAUUGUUUUAACCAUUGUAGGUCUUUUGCAGUUUUAUAAAAAUUUUAGAAUCCACUUGUCAAGAUUGCAUUACAACUAUAGAUCAAUUUGGGGAGAACUGAUUUUUGACAAUAUUGUUUUCCAAUUCAUAUCUAUUUAUUUAGAUCUUUAAUUUCUCUCAGCAAUGUUUUGUAGUUUUCAGUGCACAAGUAUUGUACCAUUUUGUUAAGUUAUCCCUAAAUAUAUAAUUUUUUAAUGGUGUUGAGAAUGCGAUAAUAAAAUUUCUUUUCCCUUGGUCUUGAUAGUAUGUAGAAAUACAUUUGAUUUUUGUAUGUCGAGCUGGUAUUCUAUGAUCUAAAACUUCUUAUUUCUAGUAGCAUUUCUGUAGACUCAGGAUUUUCUAUGUACAUAGUCAUGUCACGUGAGAAUAAAGAUAGUUUUGCUUCUUAUUUUCAAAUCUACAUGACACUUAUUUCUUACUUUUCUCUUUCACUGACUGGAAUCUCCUGUAUAAUGUCUGUUAGAGCUGGUAAGAACAGAUAUUCUUGCUUUGUUCAUGAUUUUAGAUUAGAACUCAUUCCAUCUUUUACCACUGAGUAUAAAGCUAGUUUAGGCUUGUCAUAGACACCAUUCAUCAAUUGAGAUAAUUCUCUGCUCCUAGUUUGUUGAGAGUUUUUAUGGUGAAUAGAUGUGGAAUUUUGUCAAAUGGUUUUGUUUGCAUUUUUCAUUUGUUUUUUUUUAUCUCUUGAGGUGAUCAUAUAGUUGUUCUCUUUUUAUUCUGUUAACAUGGUGAGUUGUGUUGAUGAAGUUUUAAAUGUUGAAUAACCUUUGCAUUCCUGGGAUAAACUCUAUUUGCUUACAAUAUGUUAUUCCUUUUAAAAUCUCAAGAUGACUCUCGUGGAGGCAGUUAGCUUGAGGCUGGGGAGUGCUGAGCAGCAUGUCAUGCCCUGCACUUGUCCAGACUAGUGAACAAUACAGUCAGGAUGGCUAAAGAUGAUUCCAAGAAACCAAAGGGCAAGAUGUCUGCUUAUGCCUUCUUUGUGAAGAUGUGCAGAGAAGAACAUAAGAAGAAAACCCCAGAGGUCCGUCAAUUUUGCAGAAUUUUCCAGGAAGUGCCCUGAGAGGUGGAAGACAAUGUCUGGGAAAGAGAAGUCUAAAUUUGAUGAAAUGGCAAAGGCAGAUAAAGUAUGCUAUGAUAGGGAAAUGAAGGAUUAUGGACCAGCUAAGGAAGGCAUUAGGAUCCUUUUUCUUGCCUCCCUUAGUUGGACCCUAAUCCUUCGUUUGGAUCCCACUAUGUGGAUUCUUCCUGUUCUGUUCUGAAUUCUGCCCCAAUAUUAAAUCCACAAACCCUGGUAUCUCUAUUGGAAAUGUCGCAAAAAGGCUGGGUGAGAUGUGGAUUAACAUGUAACAGUGAAAAGCUGCCUUACAUCACCAAGGUGACAAAGCUGAAGUAUAAGAACGAUGUUGCUGACUAAAAGAAAGUUUGAUGGUGCAAAGCGUCCUGCUAAAGUUGCCUGGAAAAAGGUGGAAGAGGAAGACAAAGAUGACGAGUAGGAAGAAGAGGAGGAGAAGGAUGAAUUUUAAAAACUGUUUAUCUGUCUCCUUGUGACUACGUUAGACUAGGGGAGCACCUUAAUUAACACAUCAAGUGUCUGUUGCCCUCAUUAGGUUUAAUUACUAAAUUUGAUCACGAUCAGAUUGUAGUCUCUCAAAGUGCUCCAGAAAUUGUCAGUGGUUUACAUGAAAUGGCCAUCAGUGUCCAGAGCACCCUGAAGCUGUAUCAACAUUGUACGUAUUUCUAAACAUUUUUAAAAUGAAAAAAUAAUCUUGUGUUCUCCUCACUGCGCACUUUGCUGUUGGUGAGACAAGGCAUUUAAAGAUGUUUCUGCACCCUCCCCUUCCCCCUUUUCUUUAACUUGUGAAGUGGUGUUAACUUACAGUUAUUGGCUUGAAAUCCUGAGUUAUCAACUGUAUUUAUCUCUAGUUUGUAAAAAGAACAAAACAAUGGAGACAAACUCUUGACACUCCUUGCUUGGCAUUGAGGCUGCAGGGGAAGAUGCCUUUUGGAGGGGUCGUAGCUCAUGCACUGUGAGGUUGGACCCGGUGUCUGCAGCAGGCAUCCAUUUAACUUCAGGUUGUCAUGUUUCUGUAUAUAAUGACAUAGCAUUCUGCCUCCAUUCUUAGCUGUAAACAAAGGAGGCUCAGCUGGCAUGAGAAGUGCUUUUUGUUUGUUUGUUUCAGUUAAGUGUGAUAGUUUUUAAACUGUUUCUUAAACAAACUCUAGAAUUCUUCAGUGUCAGCAAAGUGAAGAGCCACUGCAUCAAUGAAAAUUCAAAAACCUUCUGUACUUAAACACGAUUUGCAAUGUUGUUUUUCUUUGUGUAUUUAGA